GACGUAGGGCGCGAGCGUUGUCCGGAUUUAUUGGGCGUAAAGAGCUCGUAGGCGGCUUGUCGCGUCGAAUGUGAAAACUCGGGGCUCAACUCCGAGCUUGCAUUCGAUACGGGCAGGCUAGAGUUCGGUAGGGGAGACUGGAAUUCCUGGUGUAGCGGUGAAAUCCGUAGAUAUUAGAAGGAACACCAAUGGCGUAGGCAGGUUACUGGACCAUUUCUGACACUGAGGCACGAAAGCGUGGGGAGCGAACCGG
rnacentral:rRNA from 1 species